GGCUACGUUUAUUGAAUACAUGUAACAAAGAAAUCGUUAAAUAGAAAAAAACGUUAAAAUAAGAAACAAUAAGUUGCUAUUUUUUAAGACAGUGACAAAUAUAUUUAAAUACGUAAUGUAGGAUAACUACAAGCUUAUCGCAAAAUUGUUAACAAAAUGUGUGUGACUAGAUUACCAGUAGAAUGUAUGUAACAUUUCAAGACAGUAUCUUAAAUAACGCAAAGUUCCAAUCCUCUAUUUAUAUGAACAGAAAUGUAAUUCAAACAAAAAAAAUAUAGAUUUAAGGUACAAUGUGGCUAAAACCAAGUGCAGCUCUAGUGUCACCCAAGUGUGAUGUCACUCCCACACUUAAUAAAUAUGUUUGAAAUUACAAAAACCAAGGUGACAGGUGCACAAAUUGAUAAAAACCUCUUAAUUGCAGAUUACAGGAAAGAAAGCCUUAUGCCCUAAACACUAGAUGCGUUUCGCGUCUCCUAUGGACUUUGUCUCAACAGCUACUAGGCCUGCAUCGUAUUGGUGGAAGUUACACUCCUGGGCAGCGCCGGUUUUUGAUGGAACAAUUAAUUCAGCUCCUCUACAGGCAAUUAUAUACCAGGAGAGAUGAUGGAAGAAAGAAAGCGAUGUCUUGAUCCCUCCAGCUUUUCUUGUGGAAUAUAAGUAAGGGAUGAGAUUAAAGAUUGUAACAAUUGUAUCCAGGAUCGGCAAAACGAGCAACAAGGAGAUGCGCCCAGUGAAUCAAGUGACACCAUGAUGACUUUCGCAGGUCGGGAAGCAUGUCUAGUGUGGUUUGACUGGUAAUAUUUUUGAACCAGCAAACUACUAAUCUUCAUUAUAAAAUUUGCAAUUAAGAGGUUUUUACCAGUUUGUGUGCCUGUCACCUUGGCUUUUACCAUUUCAGAAAUGUAAUUCAAUAAUGCUCUAAAUCAGUCAAGUUACUGCUGUACAAGACAAUCUUGUAAAUAGGUUAUGGACUGGGUGAGUGCAGAAAUCACUUAAAUUCUGGUUUGUACAGCUAUUCACAAGAAACAUUAUUGCACAAAUAUAUCUUGUUACUUUAAAAUUAUGAAAUUUAAAGUCAGUUAACCUGUAAUAAAGAAGGAUCAAGACAUGUUUGGAUGUCAUCUCUCCCCCCCCCUCCCCCCCAACGUAUAUGAACAAAUUACAUAUUUUUAAAAGAUAUUUGGGGUUUUUUUGGGGGUGGGGAGGUUAAUGUACCUGUAACUGUGCAAUACUUUGAUACAAUUGCUUGUUCAGGGAAAUGGACCAAACCCAAAAUAUAGUUUAU